rnacentral:rRNA from 1 species
AGCGAACGCUGGCGGUAGGCCUAACACAUGCAAGUCGAACGGCAGCACAGUAAGAGCUUGCUCUUACGGGUGGCGAGUGGCGGACGGGUGAGGUAUAUAUCGGAAUCUACUUUUUCGUGGGGGAUAACGUAGGGAAACUUACGCUAAUACCGCAUACGACCUACGGGUGAAAGCAGGGGAUCUUCGGACCUUGCGCGAUUGAAUGAGCCGAUGUCGGAUUAGCUAGUUGGCGGGGUAAAGGCCCACUAAGGCGACGAUACGUAGCUGGUCUGAGAGAAUGGUCAGCCGCACUAGAGCUGAAACACGCACAAGACUACUACGAGAAGCAGCAGUCGGGAAUAUUGGACAAUGGGCGCAAGCCUGAUCCAGCCAUACCGAGUGGGUGAAGGAGGCGUUGGGGUUGUAAAGACCUUUUGUUGGGAAAGAAAAGCAGCAGGUUAAUACGACGCUGUACUGACGGUACCCAAAGAAUAAGCACCGGCUAACUUCGUG